rnacentral:lncRNA from 1 species
CACGUGUCUUCUGUAAGACAUGAACUGCACCCAGCGAAUCACUGAGCCCUCCGUGCCUAGGACCAGGUGCCCCACGAACAUCCUGCUGUAGCCA